rnacentral:rRNA from 1 species
AAGAAAUAACAAUACGGGGCUUUAAGUCUUGUAAUUGGAAUGAUGGGAAUUUAAACCUCUUCCAGAGUAUCAAUUGGAGGGCAAGUCUGGUGCCAGCAGCCGCGGUAAUUCCAGCUCCAAUAGCGUAUAUUAAACUUGUUGCAGUUAAAAAGCUCGUAGUUGAAUUUCUGCUGUAUCGUUUUCCUCUGCUUGACAGUUGGAUUUCGUUAUGGCUUAGUUGGGUUACAGUUUCUGUUACCUGACGUUUACUUUGAGAAAAUUAGAGUGCUUCAAGCAGGCUUUUGCCUUGAAUACUUUAGCAUGGAAUAAUGGAGUAGGACUUUGGUUCUAUUUUGUUGGUUUUAGGAGCCAGAGUAAUGGUUAAUAGGAACAGUUGGGGGCAUUCGUAUUUGACUGUCAGAGGUGAAAUUCUUAGAUUUGUCAAAGACGAACUACUGCGAAAGCAUUUGCCAAGGAUGUUUUCAUUAAUCAAGAACGAAAGUUAGGGGA